UGCCCACGCAACCCUGCAGUUCGCAGCCUGGCCCUUUGUGUGCACACAGUGCUGGGUAGCAUGCAGGUGAGGCUGGGGCCCACUGCCCUCAGCCUGCAGAGGAGGGGCUGCUGCGGCUCAUAGGCUCUUGGAGGACGGGACCUCCUGCCCUUGGCCUGCCCUCUCUUGCCAGCCUAGGAGCACCAGGUAUCCUGAGUGCUGGUGGGGCUGACACUGCAUUUCCCUGGGGCUGGGUGUCCCGGCCAGUGUGGAAACCGUGCCUUGGGCUCUUUGUCCCUUCCUGGCUGGCUGAGGGGCAGGGGGUGGCAGAGGGUAGGUUCCCUCGGGACACAGGCUCUAGCCUCUGAGCCCCAGCUGAGCGGUCUUGUAAGGCUGUGCUGGCUGAGCGGGUGCUUGCUGCCUAUUAGGCCCUGAGUGCUAGCUUGCGGCCGUGUCUCCCCAUGUGUGUUCACAGUUCCGAGGCCACCUUUGGGGUGUGCGCGGUUAUUAGGGUUUUCCUCUGUCUUUGCAAAUGAGGGCAGGCCUGGGGCAACGGCGCGCGGGAAGUGUUUGUGUUACAGGAAGGCAACGUGGGCGUGAUCCCUUCAGACUCUGCCCCAAGGGAGGCAGGACUGGGCAGAGGGGUCCCAGGUGGGGCAAGGCUCAGAGUAGUCACUUUCAGAGAUUGAGCCCUGAGCCGAAGGAUGUGAAGGUACCCUUGUCAACUGCAUGGCACAGAGUUGCCUGUGGGAGGGUGCAUGUUCCCUGAAGGGCCGGAGGGAACAGGGAGCCACACCUUGUGCGUCAGGUCCUGCUGCUCAUCGGGGUGGCUGCCUGGUCAGAGCACCCUGCUCUCAGAGACCCAUGUGCAUGCUGUUGCACAGCCCACCUGCACGGUUCCCGUGGAGGUCAGAGGCCUCUCUCUGUUUAUUAAUGGCAUCAGUUAGCGUCUGUGCCAGUCUGGCAGGGCCAGCUGGCUGCUUUUCCCGGGGCCCCGGUGGUGCCAGGGGCUUGACCAGGCCCCCUUUUCUGCUCAGCACCUAGAGACCCAGGCUGGGGUGCUCAGGGCCCUCCCGGGGGGCGAGGCCCUUGUGGGUUGGGAGCAGGCACUGGCAAGGGACUGUGGCUGGACUGCAAUGUGUCUGCAGGCAGGACUGAACGUUGGCAAACCUGAAUUGGGAAGCCACGGGUUUGAGAGGCACCCGGGGCAGAGCAGAGGUCACAGGUGGAGGCUGCGUAUUUGAUUUGGUCCACGUGGUAUUUAAGGAAAAAGAACCUUUAUUUGGCAUUGGGAGAUUCAACCUGAAAAUCUCAAUUUCUAGCUUGUCCUAAAAACUGGGAAGUUGCCUGCCCAUGUGGGAAGUGAGCCCACCUGGGAGCUUCUGCUCACCUCAGUCCCUGCUGCUUCCCAGCACCUCACAGUCCCCUGCUCGUCAUUUUUUAGUCUCCUGCGGGCUUGUGGCCGACUUCUUUAGUGUGGAGAGGGUGCCCUGGGCUGUGGAGCCAAAGUCACAUCCCAUUUUCUCCGCUCGGCACCACGUGACCAUUGUCCUCUGCUUCUGUGCAAAUGGGACCGGUGCCCCUGUCACUUUUCGGGCAGCAUGAGUCCCCAUGGGUAGUGUGAGUUCCUUUCCUGGGUACCAUGCCUGGUGAGGCCUCCCUGAGCACCACCACAGCCCCACCCUGUCCUGGAGCCCUUGCCGGAGGCUCCCAGGUGGCUAAUGCCCAUGCGCCUGUUCUUGCCCACAGGUGGUACGCGUGGGCGGGGCGUGGGGACAUGGGGCCCGACAUGGAGCUGCCCAGCCACUCCAAGCAGCUCCUGCUGCAGCUGAACCAGCAGAGGACGAAGGGCUUCCUGUGUGAUGUCAUCAUCAUGGUGGAGAACUCCAUCUUCCGUGCCCACAAGAACGUCCUGGCUGCCAGCAGCAUCUACUUCAAGUCCCUGGUCCUGCACGACAACCUCAUCAACCUGGACACGGACAUGGUCAGCUCCACGGUGUUCCAGCAGAUCUUGGACUUCAUCUACACGGGCAAGCUGCUGCCCAGCGACCAGCCGGCCGAGCCCAACUUCAGCACUCUCCUCACUGCCGCCAGCUACCUCCAGCUGCCCGAGUUGGCAGCGCUCUGCCGCCGUAAACUCAAGCGAGCCGGCAAGCCCUUCGGCUCCGGUCGGGUGGGCGCCACCGGCAUGGGGAGGCCACCCCGCAGCCAGCGGCUGUCCACAGCCUCCGUCAUUCAGGCGCGGUAUCCGGGGCUCGUGGACGGACGGAAGGGGGCCCACGCCCCCCAGGAGCUCCCCCAGGCCAAAGGCUCGGAUGACGAGCUCUUCCUUGGAGGCUCCAGCCAGGAGGGUGUGCAUGGCCUGGGCCGGGCCGUCUGUCCAGCCAGCGGGGAGGCCGGCCUGGGCAGCUGCAGCACCAAUGGGAGCAGCGGGGGCUGCGAGCAGGAGCUGGGCCUGGACUUGUCCAAGAAGAGCCCUCCCCUGCCUCCCGCCACCCCCGGUCCCCCCCUGACCCCUGACGACUCAGCCCAGCUGAGUGACAGUCAGCACGGCUCGCCCCUCUCAGCCUCCGCCCCUCCUGUUGCCAACAGUGCCUCUUAUGCUGAGCUGGGGGGCACCCCCAAUGAGCCCAUGGACCUGGAGGGGGCCGAGGACAACCACCUGAGCCUGCUGGAGGGGCCCGGUGGGCAGCCCCGGAAGAGCCUGCGGCACUCGGCCCGCAAGAAGGAGUGGAGCAAGAAGGAGCCCAGGGUGGGGUCCCCCUUUGAGCGGAGGGAAGCGGGGCCCAAGGGCCCCUGCCCAGGGGAAGAGGGCGAGGGGCUAGGGGACAGGGUUCCCAAUGGCAUCCUGGCCAGCAGUGUUGGGGGGGGUGGCCCCAGUGGGCCCUACGUGGAGCCCCCGUACCCCUGCAAGGAGGAGGAGGAGAACGGCAAGGAUGGGAGUGAGGACAGCGGGCAGAGUGGGAGCGAGGGGGGAAGCGGCCACGCCGGCACGCACUACGUGUACCGGCAGGAGGGCUACGAGACCGUGUCCUAUGGGGACAACCUGUACGUGUGCAUCCCCUGCGCCAAAGGCUUCCCCAGCUCCGAGCAGCUCAAUGCCCACGUGGAGACACACACGGAGGAGGAGCUGUUUAUCAAGGAGGAGGGUGCCUACGAGACGGGCAGCGGGGGCGCCGAGGAGGAGGCCGAGGACCUGUCGGCGCCCAGCGCGGCCUACACGGCCGAGCCCCGGCCCUUCAAGUGCUCGGUCUGCGAGAAGACCUACAAGGACCCGGCCACGCUGCGGCAGCAUGAGAAGACGCACUGGCUGACCCGGCCUUUCCCCUGCAACAUCUGCGGCAAAAUGUUCACGCAGCGCGGCACCAUGACGCGCCACAUGCGGAGCCACCUGGGCCUCAAGCCCUUCGCCUGCGACGAGUGCGGCAUGCGCUUCACCCGCCAGUACCGCCUCACCGAGCACAUGCGUGUGCACUCGGGCGAGAAGCCCUACGAGUGCCAGCUCUGCGGGGGCAAGUUCACCCAGCAGCGCAACCUCAUCAGCCACCUGCGCAUGCACACCUCUCCCUCCUAGAAGCCAAAGACCCUUCUCCCCGGCCCGAGGCUGCCCUCUGCAGACUCGCCCUCGGGAGCCAACCGAAGGAAGGAAGAAAGAAGCACGGAGGCCGGGCGGGAGGGGCCAGGACCCCCAGGUCCCGUGGGGGUGGCUCCUGGGGGCACCUGCAGCCAGCCCCGCCCCCCACACCCAGAGCUUUAAUGGACAAGUCUGUACCAAGGGAAGCGAGAGGAGGGAAGCCGAGAGGCCCAAGCUCCGAGUGCACAUUGCUGGUGUGCAGUCUACCUCCCGAUUCCACCCUGGCCCCUGGCUUCCUGAGAGGGGCCGCUGCAGGGCCUGUGGGAGUGGGUCACGGGGGUCUCGAUGGGACCUGGCCCCUUUCCCGCAGGCCGGGUCAGAGCAGGGGGAAGUGGGGGCCUCCCUCCGCUGGGGAGGAGCAGGGCUGCCCCGUGGCCAGGGGCGCAGUCUGUGUGCGUGCACGAGUGCUUGUCUGUGUGCGGGCCACCCUGGCUCUUUGGGGAGCGGUGCUGGAGGGGAGGGGACGGAGCCCUCCUUCCUCGAGCCAGGGGUCACUGCUCACUGGCGCUAAGACAGUCAGGGGGCCCCCACCGCCUACCUCUCCACAGCUAAAGAGCCCUCUGGGCCUAUGUUGCUGUUAUUCCUACUGAUCUGUUGCUUUUUUCUUUUUGAAUUUUGUUUUUUAAACCAAAACCAACAAGAGUUUAUUUUCCUCCCGGCCCCUCGGGGCUGAGCCUGGGUCUGCAGACUGAAUGUACAGGGGCAGCUGCCCCUCCUGCCCCCGCCCUGGUUGUGGGCUGAGGGGCGCCCACCCCUCCAGGCCCCAGAAGCCCUUCUUGGCCAAAGGCUUCCCUGGGCCCCGAGCCCCACCUCGGCUGCCUCAGGAGAGAGAGAGAUUUUCCUAUAGUUUCUGAGGAAUAUUCUUUGUUUAGAGGUACUUCUUUUUUAUUAAGAGAAAAACCAGUGUAACGUUUAUGUGAAUGUUUGAACUGGAAGGUCUGGGAUUUGUGGGGGGGAGGGGGGAGGCUGGACUCCAUGCCAGAGCCGUCGGUACUCUUCUUUUUUCAUUUUCUGUGUGUGUGUGUGUGUGUUUGUGUGUGUGUGUAUGUAUGUAUGUAUGUAUGUAGUGUGCGCGGUGCAUGUGGACAGAUAACUGAGCUUUCCUUCCUUCCUUACCGAUCAAGGUGGAGAGACUUCUGACCUUUUGCUACCUCUUGAAUCCACGAGAACGGUGUGUUGGUGGCUGGCAGCUGAGGCCGUGACACUUGGUUUCCUCCUGUUAGUGUGCACAGGAAAACUCACGUGUGAGUGAGCCUCCUGGGCCCCCCCCCACCCCCAGCACCCUCAGAGAGGGGCUCUGCGCCCCAGAGCGCACCACUCACUGUGUCCACCUGCAGGUGUUCUGAGUGUUGCUGAGCAUCAGGGAGCCCGUGUGUGCUUCUGAUCUGGGCCUGGGUUGGGGGGGCGGUGGGUGAGUGCUUCAGCCCCAGCCCCAUGGGACAUCAGGGCAUGGAGCCUCACCGCCAGGGCCAGCUCCUUGCAGCUCCCCACCAGGGCCAGGAUGAGGUGGAAGUGAGCCCCCCCCAUCCUGACCCUUGGGCCUGCAAGAGCCGGAGCUUGGGAGAGCAGCAGCCCCUGCCAGGCCAGUGCAGAGGCAUGGGGAGGCACUGACCAAAGUGAUGUAUACCCCCCUGGGGGACAGGGAGGGGGCCUGCCCUACUUUGGCACCUUCUUGGGGCGGUCCUGGCCACUCUGGCAAGAGGCUGGCUGCCACUAAUUGUCUUGGCCCUGUCUGGAGUCCCACCACUCGCCCCUCACCGUGGGUUUUCUCUUCCAGCCUCAGGACCCUUCCUUGGGCCAAGGGUCAGGCUCGCGAGGCCAGACCAAGGCCGCUGUAGGGCUGGGCCAGCGGCUUUGUUUUCAUUUUGCUUCAUGCUUUGUAUUUUUUUUUUCUUUCUACUUUUAAGUUCAGACCAAAAAAUUCUAGAGUCAUCCUCUACCCUCACCCCUCCAGAGACCCUCCAGCUGAAAACAGCCUGAGUUCAGGGACCCGAAUGGUGAAGGGCGUGUUUUGCAAGUGAGGGCUCCUGGCUGAGCCCAUCUCAAGGCGCCCUGAGCCCCAAGUUGGGUCUUAACUCCCUCUGGGUGGGAAAGGAACACUGGACCCAGGGUCUCGUGUUCCCGGAAGUCAGGUGAGGGGGGCAGGGUCCUUUCCAGGCCUCUCCGCCCUCCCGACCCCACCCCACUCCGUCAGCACUUAAGCCACACGACACAAAGUCUGUACCGCACGGGAGUUGUACGCACGCGCGCGCCCAGCCUGUGUGUGGCCUCUUGGGCUGUGGGCGGCUGCAUUCAUGAGGUGACCCGUGAGAGUAGGUGAUUCAUUUGCAGAACUUCAGGGACUGGGCGCAAAGGCCCCUCACUCAACGAUGUUCGUGCGACAUAGUAUUGUACCCACCUGAGUAUUGUAUCGAGCCUUUUCUGUAUUUUAACAAGAAAGCAAAACACUAGUUUCCUAUUUAAGAUUUUAAGGGUUUGUGGGGAGGGGUGGGACUAACACAACACUUGGUUUUGUUUUCUUUUCCCUUUGAUUUCAUGUGGAGUGUGUGCUUGCGAGUGUGUGCGUGGAAAUGUGUUAAGAGCCUCACAAGGAAAUUAGGCCGUUGGAGGCCAAGGGCGGCUUACAGUUCUCUGCUUUAGUCACUUAAUUCCUGAAUGUUUCGGAGAAACAGGAAACAGAGAAAAUAGCAGAUGUCAUGUAGGAAAGAGAGGAUAAACAAACAAACAAAAAAAAGAAAAAAAAAGAAAAAAAAAAAAAGCUCAUACCCAAAUUCACAAAACCUAUUUUUUAAACCAAAGCACAUUUUGAAUGAGUAUGGAACCUCAAUGGGCUCAGAAAAAAAGAUACUAAUAUAUUUAUCUCAUUGUUUACAUAAACUUUUACAGUUUCAGACCUCAGCAGCUGUAAGGCCAGUCCCAGUGAAUCCCCACCUUACGCUGGAGGCCCUUCUGAGUCAGCUCACGGGCAGAGGGGCGGCCGGGGCAGGCACGGAGCCCCCUGGAUUCACCUGAGCCCUCCUCCCCAGCCUCAGGCCUCUCAAAGCCCAGCUGGCACCAAAGAGCGUGGGCCGGUGCUGACCGGCCCCCAGGCCUCCUGGCCGGACCGUGGGGGUCCCGGCCAGCUGGCACAGCAGGGGAUGGCCGUUGGCUCUGGCCAUGGGACCCGAGUCUGGGCUAGGGCCCUGGGAUGGAGGGCCCCCCCCAUCUCCCCCACUCUGCCUGCGACCCUCGGGGUGGGUUGAUGUGAGGGUCCCUCUCAAGCCAAAAAGCCCCGGGACCUUUGCACAGCUCCGUUGACUCCAGUGGGUCCCCACCCCCAGGGGACACCCCCACCCCCGGCAGUGGGUGGGGGGGCUUACUGGGCUGGUCCUUACCAACACAGACGGUGCAAACACUCUGAACAGUGUUGUUUUUGUAUCAAUAUGUUUGUGCAGUGAUGAAUGUAUUUAUUUCUCAGACUUGGGGAGAGUGAGCGGCCAGCUCUGCCACCGCUCGCUCCCACCAGACCGAGCCACCCCAAGGGCUCCUCCAGGAUUGCAAAAAAAGGUAAAAAAAAAGAAAAGACGAACCUUUAAGCAAAUAAGAAACUCAGAGACUCGCAGCAUAGCCAUACACCUCAGCCUGUGAAAUGAACAAUCUGGACCUUGACGGACUUUUGGAACCUCACGCAGCCGUGUGUGUACUUCCUGUUCGUCACCACUCGGGGGCGCUGGGCUGUCCCGCUGUGCCCCCACCCCCACCCGAAGGGGGAGGGACACCGUGAUCGCACUCCUGUACUGGCCACCGCCGCUGUCAGUCAUCACAUCGAGCUCACUUCCUUUGAGAGUUUGGAUAAAUUCAGGUCAGAGCUGCAAGUACGCAGCCCUCAAGUGUCAUAGAAAAGCAAUUCACCGACGACUGAUCUCUCCAUUCAGAAGCGUGCAGUCUUAAUGUACAGUGAUGAGAAACUGUUAUUUUAUGAUCUUUUCAUUAAAAGCUUGAUUGAAAACUA